GUCAUUUUUGUUUAUAAAAAUUGUAUAAUGUCACUUAAAAGAAUGUUUAGUGUUCUGAAGGAAAUGCAAUUUAAAAGCAUUCAUUUUGCCGGUGUAGUAGUUAUUAUCCAGUGAAAUUUCUGUUUGCACAAGAGUGGUUUUAAUAUGACUGUUACAAGUCUGAUUACAUGAGCUAAGACAAAAUCCAGCAAAUAAGAAAUGUGUAAAUUGUGGCAUUGUAAUGUGUGUAUGUGCUGUGUAUAAUAUCUUGGCCCUUUUUUCUUUGCAGGGAUGCCUGGGAGUACCAAAAAGACAUGCAUUAGCUGCAAGGCCACAAUAAGUGUGGCAUGUAAAACAUGUCCUUCUUGUGGGACUUGCCAGCCUUACAAGGCAAAAUUACAAAAAGCAAGGGACAAAUUUUAAUUAAAUAAAACAAAAUAGGCAGCCUCAGUUAAAAAAAACAGCAACAAAGCUAAAGUUGUUAACAGCAGUUAUCAUUUGGUAAGUGUUUAACCCUAGGUGUGCAUUGAUAUGGGAACAUUUUUUACUGAAUAAUAUUAAUAUAAUGUAAAAUGUUUAGAAUCUUUGUUAUUUAUGUGAGAUUUUCUGACAUUCAUAAAUGUCAGUAUUAUGUUAAAUGUAAUACAAAAUAUUAUAUAAUACACUGAGCGGAAAUUUUUCAUGAAAAACAAGAAGAGGUAAUUUUGUAAAAUUUUUGUUAAAAAACAUUGAUGAAAUUAUCUAAUAGCAAUCUCUUUGUGCAUUUUUUACUUAAUAUUUCAGCUUGACAAGUUAGCUGCUCUUAACCUCCACCCAAUAUUGCUUCUUGGGAAAAACAUGGAACAAACCAUUGUGGCUGAUGUCAUAUUUGGUGGAGACCAUGUUUUAGAUGACGAUCUCUUCCAGAGAUUGAAGAUUGUCUACGAAGCUGUAUUGAAAAUUCAUUUACAGAAAAAAGAAAGGAGCUGCCUCAGAUAGCUUUAGCGUCACCUCUCCUGUGCCUGUGCUGGACCCCACCACUGCUCCUGUGUCUGUGCUGGACCCCACUGUGCCUGUGCUGGACCCCGCUGUGUUUGUGCUGGAUCCUACUGUGCCUGUGCUUGACCCAAUCAUGACUGUGCAUGUGCUGGAACCCACUGUGUCUGUGCUGGACCCCACCGUGUCACACCCGGAGAGAGAUGGAUCCAAACGCAAAUGCUGUUAACACAAAAAGGAUUUUAUUAACCCUUCAAAACAAUGACGAGCCAAGGCUCGUGACUCAAAUGAAAAUGGUGAGAUCGCUCGGCGAGAGCGAAAGGUAACUCGGCAACAGUGUCCAAAUCGACGGGCGUAAGAGAGGUCAGGCAGGCGAGCAUCGAUCGAGAGGCAGAUGGGAUAACGGAGGAAAGUCAAGUUCAGCGUCGGACAGGCGAAGUCGAAGACAAUUGAUCAGAAUGCAUGGAACAGCUGGAGAACAACAGCUUUCCAUACCAGAGGAUAUUGAAAAACAGAAUGAAAGGAGGUAACUUCGAAGUCCUUGUUAGAUGGGCUCCCUGCACAUCCUGUGGAAUCAAGUGGAAAGACUCUUGGGAGCCAUCAUCAUUUGUUGAACAAUAAUAUUGAAGUAUAUUUCUUAGUGAUUCUACAGUUUCACGUAAAAAUUUUUAUAUAUAAAUAAAUAAAGCAGUGCUUUUACCAUUGUUAAAACAGUUCUGUUAGGACAGUUAUUAUCAGUUCAGCCAUGUUGCUAAUCCACAUGCAAUAUUUGUUAAUAUUUGUUAGAUUUAAUAAUAAUAAUAAUUUACAAUAACAGUGUUCCACUCAGAUACACUACAAUUUAUAAAAUUGUAUAUAUUUGUUAUUAAUUAUUACUUUUGUUGUUAUUUUUUGGAAUUAUAAGUGGUGUGUAUGUUUAACACAAAUAAAGUUAACUGUGUUUGAUAAAUAAGUUCAGACUGCUUAUUUGCAUACUGGGAUAAUUGACAUUUAUUUGAUGUUGUAUUCUAAAACAUAAUUCCAUUUUCAAAGCACUUAAAUGUUUUAUUUAAUACAAUUACAUAAAGUGCAACAAUUGUAUCAAGCAUUUAAAUUAUAUUAAUUAUUUUAUAGUAUCAACACCAAACUGGAUAUAGAAUUGUAUUUGCACAGUUGUAUAUUCAAUGUUUACAUGCAGUUUCUAUGUCUGUACACAUACAUAUAUAUCAUAGAAGUUUUCUCCUAUUUGGUUAACCAACCAAAUUUGCUAUAAAAAUAGCCAUAUUUGCAACGAAUUGUAUCCUGUAUGAAUCCUUCAAGGUAAGUAAAGCAUUAGAGUAUGUCUUGCUAAAAUUGAUGCAAUUUUAUAACUAUAAAUUUGUCUUUCAUUUAUUCACAAUAGAAGUGAACUUUGAUUGCAGAGAUUAAUUAAAGAUUACUACUGUAAAAUGUGUCAUAACCACAAGGAAAUUCAGGUGGGUGUUAAGGAAUUAAUACUUAAUAACAGAAAAUACAUAGAAAAUAAUAAUUUAAUUUGUAUUUCUUCACAUUGUCACAUUAUGCACUAUCAAAUACAAAAUACAUAUCGUUAUUCUUAAUAAUCGUUUGCUUAAAGAGUAAAAAAAGUUUUUUAUAUCUGCCUUAGCUAAAUAAGGCAUGAAUGCUGUGCAGUUACACGGGCAGUUAGGGUUCAGUUUAAUACAUAAAUGAACAUAUAAAAAAUAGACAUAGAUAGGCAGACAUAUUAUUUAUAUGAAAGCUUUCUUCAGUCGGAAGCUAAAACAAUAUACGCCUAUAUUUUGACGCCUCUGAACAGUCGGAUCGUCAUUGGCUGUUGACUCCCGUAAAACUCCUUGUGGUUGGACUACCUUUCAAGCCAUAUAAAACAGUGCAUUAUGUUAUAAAGUAUGUUUUUAAAUAAUCAGCUCGUUAAUAAAACAUAAUAUUAACAGUGAAACGUUGCAAUGGGGAGAGAUGACCAUUUCACUGAGAUUCAAACCCUAACGACGGGCUCUUAGUCCGCAGUAAUAAACUACAAAUAACCGCGCCAUGUUUACUUAUUCCCUUGACUGAUUGA